AGAUUGAACGCUGGCGGAAUGCUUUACACAUGCAAGUCGAACGGCAGCACGGGGGCAACCCUGGUGGCGAGUGGCGAACGGGUGAGUAAUACAUCGGAACGUGCCCAGUCGUGGGGGAUAACUACGCGAAAGCGUAGCUAAUACCGCAUACGAUCUACGGAUGAAAGCGGGGGAUCGCAAGACCUCGCGCGAUUGGAGCGGCCGAUGGCAGAUUAGGUAGUUGGUGGGGUAAAGGCU
rnacentral:rRNA from 1 species